rnacentral:rRNA from 1 species
UACAGAGGGGCAAGCGUUAUUCGGAAUUAUUGGGCGUAAAGGGCGCGUAGGCGGCUUGGCAAGUGGAAGGUGAAAUCCCUCGGCUUAACCGAGGAACUGCCCUCCAAACUGCUUGGCUUGAGACCGGGAGAGGUGAGUGGAAUUCCCAGUGUAGCGGUGAAAUGCGUAGAUAUUGGGAGGAACACCAGUGGCGAAGGCGGCUCACUGGACCGGAACUGACGCUGAGGCGCGAAAGCGUGGGAGCAAACAGG